AAAAACUGCAAAACCCCCCGUGGUUUCGCAUUUUCUCACCUUAGUACCUUGUGGUUUUAUUUUUAUCUUUCCGACAGCUUUUUCGUUAAUAUUUCGUUAAAUUAUAUACAAAAAACUUCAGAUACCCAUCUAGGUUUAUCGAAUAUUCACUUUAGUAUUCUUUAAUUUUAACUUUGUCACUGAUUUAAGAAAAAAAUAGUAAAAUUAAUAAUAAAAGGAGAAAAUGAAACCACAGGGUACUAAAUUGAUGCACUUUAAACCACAUGGUACUAAAGUGAAAAAGUGCGAAACCAUAGAAGGGUUUUUGAAGUUUCCCUUUUUCUAUGGAAAAACUUCAAAUACUACCCUCGUGGCUUCGCACUUUUUCAUUUUAAUACUCUGUGGUUUAAAGUGUAUUAGUUUAGUAUCCUGGAGUUUCGUACUUUCCCACUUUAGUAUUCUGUAGUUUAAAAUGCAUCGAUUUAGUACCAUGUGGUUUCAUUUUUCUCUUUUCGUCUGCUCUUCUGUUAAUAUUUUGUUAAAUUAUAUACAAAAAACUUCAGAUAGCCUACCUAGAUUUAUCGAAUAUUUACUUUAAUACCCUUUAGUUUUAAUUUUGUUACUGAUUUUUUUUCCUCCGAUAAUAUUUCUUUAAAUAAUAUACAAAAAACUUCAAAUAUCUUAUCUAGAUUUAUCGAAUAUUCACUUUAGUACCCUUUAAUUUUAAUUUUGUUACUGAUUUAACGAAAAAAAAUUAAUUGAUAAUCAAAAAAGAAAAAUGAAACCACAUGGUACUAAUUUGAUACGCUUUAAACCACAAGAAGUACUAAAGUGAGAAAGUGCGAAACCAUUGGAACUAACUUGAUAUACUUUAAACCGUAUGGUACUAAAGUGAGAAAAUAUGAAACCACAUGGGGUAUUUGAAGUUUACCCUUUUUC
rnacentral:lncRNA from 1 species